CUGGCUCAGGAUGAACGCUGGCGGCGUGCUUAACACAUGCAAGUCGAACGAUUAACCCAAACUUCGGUUUGGUUAUAAAGUGGCGAACGGGUGAGUAACACGUGACCAACCUGCCUUCUAGAUCGGGAUAACUCAAGGAAACUUGUGCUAAUACCGGAUACUCCGAGAAAAACGCAUGUUUUACUCGGGAAAGCUUUUGCGCUAGAAGAUGGGGUCGCGGCCUAUUAGGUAGUUGGUGGGGUAACGGCCUACCAAGCCUGCGAUAGGUAGCCGGGUUGAGAGACUGAUCGGCCACAUUGGGACUGAGAUACGGCCCAGACUCCUACGGGAGGCAGCAGUGGGGAAUUUUGCGCAAUGGGGGCAACCCUGACGCAGCAACGCCGCGUGCGGGAUGAAGGUCUUCGGAUUGUAAACCGCUUUCAGUAGGGAAUAGUUUGAAGGUACCUACAGAAGAAGCACCGGCUAAAUACGUGCCAGCAGCCGCGGUAAUACGUAUGGUGCAAGCGUUAUCCGGAAUCAUUGGGCGUAAAGCGCGCGUAGGCGGCUUGUUAAGCAGGAAUUUAAAUCUUAGGGCUCAACCUUAAGUCGGUUCCUGAACUGGCAGGCUCGAGUGCGGUAGAGGAAGGUGGAAUUCCCAGUGUAGCGGUGAAAUGCGCAGAUAUUGGGAAGAACACCGAUGGCGAAGGCAGCCUUCUGGGCCGCCACUGACGCUGAGGCGCGAAAGCUAGGGGAGCGAACAGGAUUAGAUACCCUGGUAGUCCUAGCCGUAAACGAUGGGCACUAGGUGUGGGGAGUUAUUACUUUCCGUGCCGCAGCUAACGCAUUAAGUGCCCCGCCUGGGGAGUACGGCCGCAAGGCUAAAACUCAAAGGAAUUGACGGGGGCCC
rnacentral:rRNA from 1 species